rnacentral:misc_RNA from 1 species
UUUCCGUAGGUGAACCUGCGGAAGGAUCAUUCAUAAUAGUGUUUUAUGGCACUUUUUUAAAUCCAUAUCCACCUUGUGUGCAAUGUCAGGGUUGAUUUUUCUCUCGAGAGGAUCAGCCCCGAACAUCAACUAUAUCUCAACUCUUUGUCUGAAAAAUAUUAUGAAUAAAACAAUUCAAAAUACAGCUUUCAACAACGGAUCUCUUGGCUCUC